GGUGGUUCUCGGGUGAUGCACCCUGGAAUCGGGCUCCCUCUCUCUGGUUCCAGGUAUGUCACCUGAGAACUGCA
rfam:Myotis davidii contig174818, whole genome shotgun sequence.